ACCUCUGACGUCUCUUCUCUCUCAAAAUACUCUCAAGCACUCAAAACCCUAACAACCGCCUACCCUUCGCCGAUCAUUAUCUCACCGGAGUCCAUGGCUUCUCGGACCAUGGAUGGCCUGUACUCACCUUCCUUCACCCCCAAACCAUGGGUAUUUGAGAUUUUGAGGUCUGGCCUCGAUGGACAUAUCUAUGGUUCUAUAGCCUCUCUGGCCUUGCUCCAACGUAUUCGAGCUUUAGGAGGCUAGCUAUGGCAAUCUCCGACUCAGACCGGAUAUUCUUCCAAGCCUUCUCAUUUCUAGGGUUUCAGAGAAAACCUAAAGCUACUCGAGGUUUUUCUGUAUUUGUUUUCUUAGAUCUAUGCUAUAUAUGUGCUAUAUUCGACAUUUAAAGGGUUUUCCCAAAUUUUCUUUUUUAAGAUCGUUUAAUUUUCAAACUAGGGAUUCUGGAAACAUUGUGAUUCUUUCUUCUCUUUUCCUUAUGUGUGUUUCUCUGUGUUUGUCUUGAAUAUUUUCUUCUCUACUACGCAUGUGCGUGAUCUUCUGCUUUUCUUUCUAUUAAGCAUGAUCCUUCUAAGCUUUCCAUUCUACUGUGCCUCUUGAAUAGGCUCGCAUGACUAUCUCUGCUAUGUUUCCCUACAUGAUUUUUAUUGUACGUGUCUCCUACUAGGUUCUUUAUGUUUUCUUGCUUUACCAGAUUUUAUCGAGUUCUUCCUAAACAUGUUUCAUCUACUGUUUCCUAAGUUUAUACAUCACCUCUUUUCUUUUCCUAAAAUUUUCUUAAGCUCCGAGUAUUUUUUUAAAACGUGUUCUUUAUGUUUUUUCACUCAAUUGCUUCAAACCUACUACUGUGUCUGUGUGUUUACUCAUGAGGCUUUGAAAAAGACCUUUGAGUCUAUUUCAAUGGCUUGCCUUCUCCUCUCUAUAUGAUACUCGAGUUGGAAACCUAGGGUUUGAGGUUUUGGCGAGUUUUGAUCUUGUGUUUAGAUAAGGGUUCUAUUUCAU
rnacentral:lncRNA from 1 species